GCCCCCACAGAGCCCCUGCCUCGGCCCCGGGCCGGGGACGGGCCCCGGCGCUGCCCGGGAGGGGCGGUGCGGGGCCGGGGCCGGGGCAGCGGCUGCUCGGGGGGUCCGGAGCGCCCGUCGGGCCCUGGCUGGGCGGCCUCUGCGGCGCUGCCAGGGAAGAGCAAGAAUAUUUUAAUUUGUAUAUUUUCCAGGGAUUUUUUUGCCUGUUUCCAGCACCCAAGGCUUUAGUUCUAUAGCAAAAUUACUGCUCUUGUUGCCAGGACAAAUGGUUGGAAAUGGGUCGUUUCCCCUCAGCUAUCAAAGGCCUCUCCAGAUCCUCCUUCUUCCUCUCUGUGCAUGUGGGCAUCGAGCUUGUUAUGGAGCAAAAGCAAAAUGUGUGACUCAUACAGACAUGACCAUCUAUAAAGAUGAGGAGAAAUAUUAAUACAUAUGUAAAAAAUUAAAGGUGUACACCCUGGCUGUUUUAUACAUAAAGAUUAAUCUCCCAAUAUUAUAUUGUGAUACUAUAGUUUGGGACUAUUUUCAUUGAAAUGUGGAGGUUCUUUUUAAAGUUCAAAACUUGUUGUCAUCUCUAUUUAUCUUCAAGACUUCCAGACACUUUAAACUACAGUUUAAAUUUAAAGUGACUAUUUUUAUUCAUAUGCUGACAUAAUUUCCCUUGGAAUGAUUUAUAUUUCAAUAAUAGCUUAAAUUAUGUUUUGCAUUCUGUGCUUUGAUGUCAUGCAGGAGGUGUCAUCACAAGAUAAACUUUCACAUCUGAGAGUCAAUAAAUUGUGCUUAGGUAGUCUAAUGAAAAUAUUGUGAAUGGCUAUAUGGAGUUAUAUGCAGUACAGCCAAGCAGCACAGAUACAUGUAGAUAUUUAACAAAGGGCUGUGUUUGAUCUCACGAUGUCAUUGGCUUUGACACCAUGGCACAGUACCAGUUUACAGUGAUACGAAUCCUAUAAUACUAUAUCAUGCUUUUAUCCACUAAAUAAAAACCUGCCCUAUGUUUUAUUACAAAGUAGGUGGCCUGGAGGAAAAAUAUAUGUAUUCUUUCCUUUUGGAAUAAAAUAUGCAUUUGGGCUUCUCA